UAAUUAAAAUAAAAUAUCUUUAAUUAAUUAUUCUACGCAGAUUUUCCUCCUCCGUGAGUAGAUAUUUCUCCUCCGUAAUCUGCAAAUAAAAUACCAAAUAAAUUCAAAUAAGAAAAAAAGGGGAAUUUCGAAAUUUACUCUCCUUUCCCACAACUAAAAACCGUCCCUCCAUCUCUCCCACAAAUCUCUCCCGUAUCUCAACCCCAUUUCCCCUAUAUUAAAUCUCUAAUCAGUUAUUUCUUCCCUCACCAAUCGUUCUCUGCAAUCAAAUUUUUCUUCUUCAACUCCUAUCCAAGUAAUCAAAAUUCUCCAGCUUCAAGAACCUGCUUUUCAGCCUUGUGAACUUCACAGCCCAAAUUCAAUUCAAAGAGGUAAUUUCCUACCCAAAUUUUGAACAUAAAUUAUCGCAUUCUGCACCAUUUAUCACAUACUCAGCAUCAAUCUCCCAAACAAAGAACUAAUCAAUAGCAAUCAAGUAAUCAAAACCAAUCGAUCGUUACGAAUUGGAACCCCCUUGCUGCAAAUCGAAACUAAGAAUGAAAAGAAACACUUUUUGAAUGAGAACUUAUCUUUCGGCUGAAUCGGGGUUGUUCCGAGGCUGUUCGGAGUUGUUUGGGGUUGAAGCGAUGAGAAACGGUGGCUGCCAAACACGUCGGCCUGUGCGAGCAGUCGGUGAUAACGGAGAAACGGAGCCGGCGGCGACAGCAGCAGCCUGACCCGGCGGCUGAGAGGCGGCGACAGCAGCGCCGUUAACACCGUCGAGCAGUAGCCGACGGCUUCGUGCAGCAGCGUCGGAGCUACUGGUGCGGCGAAGGCGGGACGACGGCAGCGAUGAAUCAGCGGCAGCGACGGUGGCGGAUCCCGGUGACGGCAGCAGCAGCUCCUCCCGGCGACAGCAGCCUCUCCCCGACGAGCAGUAGCAGCAGCGACGUCCGGCGUCGUGAGGCGAACGUAAGAAGCCGACGGGAGAUUGGGGGAAAUUCCAGUCGGCGAGAGAGAAGAUAAGAGAAGAAGAGGGGGGAGAGAGAGAAAGUGGCAGACGUGAGGGAGAAUUGGGGAGUAUACAAAUUUUGGGCUUUGUUUUAAUUGGGGUUGGGCCUCAUUAAUUAGAAAUUGGAUGUAUCAUUAAAGAUGGGCUCCUUUUAAUUGUUUGGCUUUAACUUGUAAUUGAAGAUAUAAGGUGGAGAAAAUAAUUAAGUCAAGGGCUUUUAAUUAAA